rnacentral:rRNA from 1 species
UACGUAGGGGCCUAGCGUUGUCCGGAUUUAUUGGGCGUAAAGAGCUCGUAGGCGGCUUGGUAAGUCAGGUGUGAAAUCUCCACGCUCAACGUGGAGGGGCCACCCGAAACUGCCAUGGCUUGAGUCCGGUAGGGGAGUGUGGAAUUCCCGGUGUAGCGGUGAAAUGCGCAGAUAUCGGGAGGAACACCCGUAGCGAAGGCGGCACUCUGGGCCGGUACUGACGCUGAGGACCGAAAGCGUGGGGAGCAAACAGG